CGUGGGCCUGCCCCUAAGCCGCUCCCAACUCAGGUCGUCAAGAGUUUUUUUGUAUCAGUUAUGCAAAGGAAUUGCACACUGCCAUGGCCAUGGUGUCCUUCAUCGGGAUUUAAAGCCCCAAAAUCUAUUGGUUGACAAGGAGAAGAUGAUACUGAAAAUUGCAGAUCUUGGGUUAAGUAGAGCUUUUACUGUUCCUAUGAAAAGCAGAUCUUGGGUUAAUGUACAGCGACGGUGCCGCUGCACUUGUGCUAGUCAGUGGGGAGAAAGCUAGAACCUUGGUCUUCAAGUUCUUGCAAGGACCAGAGGGCACUUGAGCUAUUUACAAAAGGAGGGGACCCGGCCUUCUUCAUGUCUUGUGGCAGUGUCUUCCUUUGAUUCAUUCGUGCAACAAAGAGGGG